UACGUAGGGGGCAAGCGUUGUCCGGAUUUAUUGGGCGUAAAGAGCGUGUAGGCGGUCUGGUAGGUCCGUUGUGAAAACUCGAGGCUCAACCUCGAGACGCCGAUGGAAACCAUCAGACUAGAGUCCGGAAGAGGAGAGGUGGAAUUCCUGGUGUAGCGGUGAAAUGCGCAGAUAUCAGGAAGAACACCCGUGGCUAAGGCGGCUCUCUAGUACGGUACUGACGCUGAGACGCGAAAGCGUGGGGAGCGAACAGG
rnacentral:rRNA from 1 species